rnacentral:rRNA from 1 species
UACGUAGGUCGCAAGCGUUGUCCGGAUUUACUGGGCGUAAAGAGCGCGCAGGCGGCUGGUCAAGUCCGAUGUGAAAUCUCCCGGCUUAACCGGGAAACUGCAUCGGAAACUGAUCGGCUUGAAGGUGGGAGAGGGUAGUGGAAUUCCCGGUGUAGUGGUGAAAUGCGUAGAUAUCGGGAGGAACACCAGUGGCGAAGGCGACUACCUGGCCCAUUCUUGACGCUGAGGCGCGAAAGCUAGGGGAGCGAACGGG